UACUGGUUAUACUGGGAGCUGACAAGAACCAUUACAAUCUUCUACUGGUUAGACAUGGGGCCGUCCAUUACAACCAGUCUUCUACUGAUUAUAGUGGGAGCUUCCCAUUACAACCAGUCUUCUACUGAUUAUAGUGGGAGCUUCCCAUUACAACCAGUCUUCUACUGAUUAUAGUGGGAGCUGCCCAGUCUUCUACUGGUUAUAAUGGGAGCUGUCCGGUACAACCACAGUCUUCUACUGGUUAUACUGGGAACUGCUCAGUACAAAAACAGUUCUCUUCUGGUAAGGACCCUGCAGUACUGAUUUUGCAGGAGUCCGGGCAGCAGGUCGGUCAGUGUUAUGAUGAUGUCACUAAGUUUAAGUUUAAGUUUCAAUUUUCAACUGCUAUUUUCCGAACUGGAAACAGGAAGCGUGUGUUAUACUGAUAGUCUUCAUGGUGGCCUGUUACCAAGGGGGUAAGUGGUUAAAAGGUAAGUAGAGCAGGCAGGGAAGUGCGAUUCUGUGGUUAACACCAUCACAUUCAUCUCUUGAACCAUGUACAAUCCGUCAAACACAGGAUGUCUGCUCUUCACGUUUCAGUUCUGCUAUUGGUUCUUCUGCUCGCCUCACCACAGACUUACGGCUAUGUCUCUGGCCCGGUCUCUCUGACUGUCUCUCCCAGUGGAGGGCAGGUGUUCGAGUAUGAAUCUUUGUCUCUGGGAUGCGAUCCAGCAGACAGUCCCGAAGGAUCUUCCACGUGAGAUUUACUCACGAAAGGUUGUGUUCAUGGCGAUGACGAUAAUGGAUCAUGUAUAUACGAUCACUUGAUCAUGAUGUUGAUGCUGUUCUGGGUCUGCAGCCCUUUGCUAAGCGGAGGUUUGUCUUGGUGUGGGAGUCACUGGGGGGAAUCAUCUUCCACCAACUGCCUCAUAGCCACCCACGAGCAAGCAGUCUGACAGCGGCCUGUACUGGUGUCAGUCCUCCCAGGGAGACAGCAGUUCCGCCCUUCACAUCAAUGUCACAGGUCACACCAUCAUCACCACUGUUCCCAUCGCUGCACUCAUCAGCACCACUGUUCCCAUGCCAACAUCCCAUCAACACCACUGUUCAAAUGACUACAGCCACUAGAACCACUGUUUCAAUUACUACACGCAUCCGCCAGUAUACAUGAUGCAUACACAUCAGUUCCCAUGAAAGUACCAUCAUCACUAUACAGGCCAUACUUAUUAUCCAAUGGUUUAGAUGCUAUAAGGUGUACUAUUAGUGUGCUGUGUGUUCCAGGUGGUCAUGUGAUCCUUGAGAGUCCAGUCCUUCCUGUGAUGGAGGGACAUAAUGUGACUGUGAGCUGCGUAGACAACUGGGGCAGCCCCAGCCCGGGGCUCUGUCAUCUCAACUUCACCAAGAAGUACGACACCGCCACCUACUGGUGCCGGUCUGCUACUGGCCAACACAGCAACAUGGUCAAUAUAACAGUCCACGGUACGAUAACCUUUUGCUCCACUCUAACCCUCACCUAACUGACCUCAUCUUAACCCAUCCCUAAACCUCUUUUAUCUUAACAUUCCGUGCAUGAGCUACUUUCUGACUGAAAGUGGGUGAAUAUCAAUGCAUGAUAGAAACAUUUUGUUAAACCACUCACAAGUGGUUUGGUUUACAAAAAAAAAGACCUAUUGACAUGUUAGUUAAAAUGUAUGCUCAGUGCAUUCUGUGCUCAUCAACAUUUCCACAUCAAAAAUAUUUAAUCCAAAAACCACUUACAAAUGUUAUGUUGACAACACUAUUGAAACAAUUACUUUUUAUUGCAACUGUACAUGAAUAAAUAGGCCAUUUGACCCUGGACUAACGCGGUAUUCUAUUUGUCCAUUUUAUUGGCUCCAUUCUAUUUUGAAGACGUCUAAUUUAAGGCUCUACCGAAUAAAUAGUAUUGGUAUAUUGUACAUUUUCCUGAGUGCCUUGAGUAUUGAAGUUGUUGAGUUUUGAGUCCCUGGUGUUCUUUCAUGUUACAGGGAUAAAAGAAAGCAUACAGUUUAGGAGGAUAUUGUGAGAAAAUGUGUGUUAUUUCUGGUGUAAAGAAGUCAUGUGACCUCUGUGUUGGUCAGACAAAUUCAGCACUGGUCUUAAAUGAUGAGAUUCAGUAAAGCCUAAAAGGUCCCCUUUUCCAACGAUACCAAGCACCAUAUUAUAGAAUAUCGACAAUAUCCCUACCAUGAGCCUAAGGCAGUUAGUGACUUCAUGAGCUGAAAAAAGUAAUUUAGCUACGACUUCUGCACUGCCAUAUUGAUUGUUCUAGUACUAGGGAUGUAUACCUUGCCAAAAACCAGUAUGAGACUUUGUCUCCCCAGAUGAUACCGAUGGUCCACAUUUGGGGCCCUGGCUCAUGGACUAUAUACUGUUAGAAAUGUUACUGUGAUAAAUUAAACAGUUAUAAAUGUUUUCAAAUGUGUUUUCAAAGAGUUAUACUGACUGAUCAAGUCAUAAUGGCUGUUUUAUAAAAGCCGUGGCUGAUGGUCUAUGUUUCAUGGUCUGUCUGUUUCCUUGUCUUGUUUUGGUGUGUAUACUGUUUUACUUUGGUAUCUCCGUCUAGUUUCUCCCCAUGUCCGGUCAAGUUUCCCUCCUGUGUGAUUACUGCUCCCUCCCCUAAUGUAUUUCAGCUGUUCCUUGUUGCGUGCCCUGUGUUUGGCAUUUAAGCCCUUGUCUUUCCUUUGUUCCUUGUCGGAUCAUUGUGUUUUGUGGUGAGUUGUGUCCUGUGUGUUACCUGUGUUCCCUGUGUUACCCGUGUUACCUGCGUCACCUGUGUUCUCGGUGUUCCUUGCCUUUUUGCGUUAAUGAAUUACCCUUUACCUGCCUGCCUGCCACCCGCUAACCGUGCGGCAAUCCACUUGUUAAACUUGUUACUGAAUCUUAUAAAUGUAACCCAAUAUGUUUAUAAAUUUAACAGUGCAAACAAUUUAACCAAAUGUGUUUAUAGAAGUAACUGUGUUAUAAAUGUCGCCAAAUAUGUUUAUAAUGUAACUAACUGUGUUGAUAAAUGUAAUUAAAUGUAACUCAAUGUGUUUAUAAAUGUAA